GCAACCAAACAAGCCCGAAGAUGCCGCUUCGCACAUCACCGCCAUUAGCAAACCACUGGCACUUUGAAUCCUUGUGGGUGGCCCUUCUCCCUUCUCAAUGUGUGGUACUCACGUUCCUUCUACCAGCGAUAAAUCACACGCAGUUUGGGACCAAGCACACACAAUCAGGUGGGUCAGGAAUUUAAUGAGAAGACACUUAUAUGAACAUCGUUGCUAUUGACUUGCAAGCAGCUUGUUUUGCAUCACAAGUGAGCUUUUUUCACACAGGCUUGCGUGAGCUACGCACACUUGGGGAGGAGGAGGAUUAGGGGAGCGCGACGAAGAUGAGGGUGAAGACACUGGCGUGCUGCCGGCGGCCGCCGCACGGCUUGAGCAUCGACAUGGACCAAGAGCCGGACAAUAAGCCUGCCCGAGAUCUUCCCCAUUUCUUCUUGCUUCAGUUCCUUUGUUUUUGGUCAGAUUCUGUGAUUUGUUCAUGUGUGUUCUUGGUUCCCUGUGCCGGAUGUACCUUAUCGUUUGAUUAUGCAGUUUGUGCUCCUAAUUUGGUUGUGUUCAGAGACGUCCAGCUAUGCAGUUGUUACUCUUUCAGAUUUUGUUACAAUUUCAAGGUUCAGAAGUUGUUCGGGCUAAUACUGACAGUGGGUAUCUUGGUCAGCCUGUGGUGGAUACCUUCUAGGGAGCUGAGGUGUUGGCCAGCUGCUUCUGUUUUGCUGACCCGGUGAUGCCGUCUCACUUGUUCGUGCUCCUGCUCACCAAUACAUGAAACGGCGGCGGGAGGCCUAGAGCGCUGAUGGAGACCAGAUGAAGGUGGCGAUGGGAGCCCCAGAGCACUGAUGGAGACCAGAUAAAGCCGGUGGUGAAGCCCGGCGUGCGUGGGGACGGGGUUUGGGCAAAAUUAGGAUCAGGGUCGUGUAUGUGAUGUAAUGGCAAGGCCCGACGACCAUAUAAGAGGUUCAGUUUUAACGAAAACUUAAGAUCUGAAGUAUUGUCUCUAGCUUCAUAUUUUGUUAACUUGAUUUGAGGAAUAAAAUAGAUAUUGGAUGUGAGAUUUAGAAACAACGGGCACUUUGCUAGUUACUAUUAAAGUAUGAGUGAGUUAUCCA